GCAUUAAUGGGGUGGUGGUAACCUUGGUUGCCACCAUCGACCAGCCGCGAGUUCGAUUCUUGCUUAAUACA